CGAAACCGUGAGGUUACUUCGACUACGGCUUCACCGUAACCUGAGUAUUUGUCGUUUGCCAUUGUCGAUUUUAAUCCCUUUUGUUUAAACGGGCCGCCGGUUAUGAUCGUCUCUGGGUGAAGAGCUUCCCUGAAGGCGGAACCGUGUAAAGUACGAGGAUCGCCUUUCCGGCCCUAAAGUGAUGCAAAGCUCGCCGCCUGCGACAUUCACUUCCGAUUCGAAUUGAAACCCGACGAACUACGGAAUGAGUGGCCACGCUGUCGUCCUAGAGAUACUCCGCCAGGCGGUCAGCCAGGACGUCAACGUGCUGAAGCCUGCCCAACAGAAACUCGAAGCCUGGGAGACAGUCCCUGGCUUUUAUGUCAUCCUUAAGGAUGUUUUCUGUGACCAUUCAAUUGAAGAGAACGUGAGACUGAUUGCUGUUUUAUAUUUUAAAAAUGGAGUUGACAAAUAUUGGAGACCGAAUGCAUCAAAUGCAAUUUCUGAAGAUGAAAAGAAGUCUUUUCGGCAGUCACUACCCUUUGUUCUUAAAGAGCCGUCUAAAAUGAUAGCAGUUCAUUUAUCUGUGCUCAUUGCUAAAAUUGCAAGGUUUGACUGCCCCAAGUAUUGGCCAGAACUGAUACCGGAUCUUUUGAAAAGCAUACAAAGUAAUGAUUUCCUGGCUCAGAUAAGAGCUUUGAAGGUCCUGCAUGAGAUAAUUAAGACCCUCUCGUCCAAAAGACUUUCUGCCGAUAGAAAAAUGUUUCAAGAUCUGACAGCGUUCCUUUAUUCGGAUAUAUUCAACCUUUGGAAUACUAGCGUCAGCGAAGUUUUCUUUUCCUACCAGCAAAAUAAAUUGGACAGCAAUUCUUGGUUGAUCCUAUCUAAAACGUUGUUGUGUUUGAAAAUUUUAGAAAAAUUGACAGUUCGAGGUUUCAGAAAUCCAUCUGAAAGUGAACUGGUCGAUAAAUUUAUGAAGUUGGUGAUAGAAAGGACAAAAAUAAUGUUGCAAAUGAAAAAAGACCUUAAUGACAAAGCACUUGACGAGCUGGCAACUAAAUACAUUAGUAAUUCUAUCAACAUCUUGCAACGUUUUUUAGAAGCGCACCAAGAGUCGUUUAUCAAUUAUAUUUUACCUGUGUUGGAAUUUACCAUCGUAUUUACUUUUACACCUGCUGGAGAACAAUACAUAUACGAGCAGUUUAUAAUCCAGUGUUUUACGUUAAUAAGGAGUAUUUUUACGUACAAUUUAGCCAAUAAGGAACAAAAUUCUAGGGAACGACAAAUAAAGGAAUCGUUUUUUUCGCCAGAUGUGCUAAGUGCGAUAUGCAGAAAGUUAAUAACACAUUACUUUCUUAUUACACCAAAUGAAAUUAAAAUGUGGGAAGAGGAUCCUGAGUCUUUUGCUGUCGUUGAAAGUGGAGAUGCUUGGAAAUUCAAUUGGAGGCUCAGCGUUGAGUAUUUGUUUAAUGAAUUUUUCAAUGAGUUUAGAACAACAUUUGUACCUAUUGUGUUAGAUUUAUUAAGACAAAAUGAAGCCAUAGUGCCACCUGAGGAUGUCCAAGCGAUUUUGAUCAAAGAUGCCAUUUACAAUGUUGUUGGAAUGACUGCACCAGAACUUUAUGAUGAGGUUGAUUUUGACAAUUGGCUGACUACGACGCUUGUUAAAGAAUUGUCGAUUCAACAUGAAAAUUACAAGGUUCUGAGGAAGAGAAUUAUUUGGCUUAUUGGUUGCUGGACUGGAAUUAAGAUUUCACCGGAUUUAUUUCCGCUAGUAUAUUCGACUUUGAUAAACUUCCUCAAACCCGAAGAGGACAUGGUGAUCCGUUUGACUUCCGCUAAUACGAUAAAGAGCGUCAUUGAUAUUUUUGAAUUUAAUAUAGAUAAAUUCUUGGAAUACUUGGAACCGACGUUUUAUUCUCUUUUUAAUCUUUUAAAAGAAGCAAAGGAAUGUGAUACUAAAAUGAGAAUUUUACAUGUUUUAUAUUUUAUAAUCGAACGUGUUGAUCAUUGUAUUGAACCAUAUUACAAUAAUCUUGUUCAAUACCUUCCUGUGUUAUGGGAGGAAUCUGAGCCCCACAACAUGCUAAGAUGUGCCGUUGUUACUACCCUUGUAAAUCUAGUCAAAGCAUUGGGAAAAUUAAAUCAUUCGGUUGAAGUUUAUAAUUUUAUUUUAUCAAUUAUUUCAUUAAGUACUGACGUUAAUGAAAAAUGCAAUGUUUACCUUUUGGAAGAUGGUUUAGAACUUUGGCAAGCUGUGAUUGAAAACAUACCUGGUCCAUCAAAUGCCAUACUACAAUUGUAUAAGAAUAUGCCUGCCCUUUUAGAAAACAGUUCAGAUACAUUGCGGAUCUGUAUUUCUAUUACAUCUGCUUAUGUUCUACUGGCACCAAAUGAAUUUCUUCAGGUUUAUGGGGAGCGUGUGGUCCAGGCUCUAAAAGAUAUAAUGAUAGACAUGAGACCUGAAGGUUUGGUGGUCGUUGGAAAGCUUGUAGAGUUAUUCCUUAGAGCCAACCCAUCUUUAUCUUGUGUCUUGGUUAAACCUUUGUUACCAAAACUAUUUGAAAGCAUUUGUUAUGAAACACUGAGUCCACAAGUGUUUUCAGUUUAUUUGUCAAUUUUAUCAAGAGUGUUAUUAGAAUCAAAAGAAAUUUUUAUUGAGGCAGCAAAGGAGGUGAGUUCUUCUGCUCCAGAUAGCAAAGAUGAAAUAUUUAAUAAAUUCAUUGAUACGUGGCUUGAAGACAUGCCUUACGUUGUAAAACCCAGGCAGAAGAAAAUCCUUGCGCUUGCACUCGCAUCCCUUCUCCCGACAGAUCCAUCGUUUAUAUAUAACAAAUUCUGUGGUAUUUUGUUGGCUGUAUCGGAAGUUCUUAAUGACAUUGUUACAUUUGAGGACAAUUCAAUUCCAUUUGACUCAACAUUAACCAGUUAUGAAUUGAUGGAAAAUUCUGAGACUAUGACUGAAAAUAGUUACCGGAAAAAACUGGUUGUUUCGAGGGACUUAGUGCAUACAAUAAGCUUGAUUGAUUAUUUGCAAUUACAACUUUUGCAGUUAAAAAAUUCACUGAGCCCACUUCAAUUUGACCAAUUUGUUCAGACGGUCGAUGCUGAGACUUUGGCACAGGUCCGACUUUAUGUUCCUCUGUGAUAAUGCAUAAGGAAAUAAUUGUAUUAGCUGAGAUAUAAAAUCAAUGCCAAUACACAAACCUUUUACCUAAAAAUAUUUAACAUUAGUGUUAUAAUUUGAGAGAACACUGUACAUUAAAAAACAAAAAAAUGUAUAGAUGUCUUUCUUUACCAAGGAAGCCUUGUGUAUGUAUUUAUAAAAAUUAUUGAUUAUCUGAUUAUCAUUUUGACAUUUGCAGAAUUUAAGUUCUGUUAAUACGAUUAAAUUUUGAGUAUAAAUUUGUCGUUUGUUAUGUAUAAAUGAUGUUUUUUCUUUA
rnacentral:misc_RNA from 1 species